rnacentral:tRNA from 1 species
UCCCUAUUGGUCCAGUGGUUAGGACUUUUGCAGUCUUACUUUGAAGGGCCCAGGUUCAAUUCCUGGCUGGGGAA